GAAACGGUGGGUCGACGCAAUUGCAACGUGGGUUUUCCCAUAAAGAAAAUUGUUUAUACCCACAUAAAAUCAAAAUCGAGAUAUCUCAGCAUCCACAAAUGCUAGUGUGAUCAAAUUUUACCACAAGGAAUGCAGUCGAUCACUACGUAGCACCCAACGACUCAGAAGAUUUCAGACAACUUACCCCAGCUAUGAGACAAUUUGGCCGUCUUUUGUUUUCUCUUUAUUUUCUCAUUUUUUAAUGAAUAAAAACUUGAAAUAGAAA